CAAACUCACUACAAGGAUUAUUAUGUUGCCAUCUCUCCCGCUCGUGUGUGCAAAUGGUCACCCUGUCGUGGACUUACGAUCACCCCCACACUGAAUGAAGCCUUAGGCCAGUUCCUUACCUCCACCUUGGACAAUGAAAAGAUUUUACCAAGCAAGAAGCUUCACCUGUAUGAAGUAUCCCAUCCAUCAUGCCUCAGAUGUGUUCAGUAGGGUUCAUAUCUGGUGAUUGGCUUAGCUAUGGAAGCUUUUUAAUGCCAUUCUCUUCCAACCAAUCCUGGGUCUUUUAGUUGUGCAAGAAAGCCCUAUCUUCGAUAAAUAGUGUUAUUUAAUCAUUUUACCCCUGGAGGUUAUAGGAAGAAGAUUUUUCUAUAAUAUGGACACAUAUUUAUCUGAGUUUAUGUAUCCCUCACACUCCACCAUUUCUGAUUGACUAUUGCUCCAAACUGCUCUCCAGACCAUCACAUGUUCCAUUGUUGGCUGCAAUAUAUUCACGUGAAAAUAUUGGUGACUGAUUCUCCAGACCCACAUUCGACCAGUGUCAGAAAAUACAGCAAAUUUGGAUUCAUCAGAGAAUUUGACAGUGUCCCAAAGUGCUAGUGACCUCUCUACCAUCUCACUUGUCCAAUCUUUUCUCCAUUUGAUAUUGGCUGGUCGAAGCAGUGUCUUCUUUCUUGCUGCUCUGCCAUAAUAGCCAAUUUUGCGGAGAUAACUGACAGCUAUUCUGGGACUGACAUCAACUUAUUCUGCUAUAUUGGAGGCCUUGCAAUGAGGAUUAUCUUACACACUUCUCUUAAGAAAGCAAAGUGUUCUGUGAGAGGGCCUUAGUCUACCUGGGUAAGGUGAUAUGGACUACUUUCCCAUUUAGUGAAUUGAAAAAUUACUCUAUUUACUGUAGAAAGUGGAAUCACAAUGUUUUCUGUGGUUUUAGGCUAAGUCAGCCUUGAAAUAGGCGCAGCAUAUGGCCUCUUUGUAAAUUGGACAUUUUUAAGGCUUCUUUUGUACAUGGCAUGAUUAAACAGUUACAUAUAGAACCUGAAACAUAUAAAUGUCAAUUAAUAAAAAAAAUAUAAACCUCUUCAAGUUAUAAUAACCAUAAAACAAUGUGUUAAUGGGUAUCUAUUUACUUUU